rnacentral:rRNA from 1 species
AACGAACGCUGGCGGCAGGCCUAACACAUGCAAGUCGAACGUGAAGCAGGAGCUUGCUCCUGUGGAAAGUGGCAGACGGGUGAGUAACGCGUGGGAAUUUGCCCAGCUCUACGGAAUAACGCAGGGAAACUUGUGCUAAUACCGUAUACGUCCUCCGGGAGAAAGAUUUAUCGGAGUUGGAUGAGCCCGCGUUAGAUUAGUUUGUUGGUGGGGUAAUGGCCUACCAAGACGACGAUCUAUAGCUGGUCUGAGAGGAUGAUCAGCCACACUGGGACUGAGACACGGCCCAGACUCCUACGGGAGGCAGCAGUGGGGAAUAUUGCACAAUGGGCGCAAGCCUGAUGCAGCCAUGCCGCGUGAGUGAAGAAGGCCUUAGGGUUGUAAAACUCUUUCAUCGGUGAAGAUAAUGACGGUAGCCGAAGAAGAAGCCCCGGCUAACUCCGUG